AACAGUUGGAAGCGACUGCUAAUACCGCAUAAGCCCACGGCUCGGCAUCGAGCAGAGGGAAAAGGAGCAAUCCGCUUUGAGAUGGCCUCGCGUCCGAUUAGCUAGUUGGUGAGGUAACGGCCCACCAAGGCGACGAUCGGUAGCCGGACUGAGAGGUUGAACGGCCACAUUGGGACUGAGACACGGCCCAGACUCCUACGGGAGGCAGCAGUGGGGAAUAUUGCACAAUGGGGGAAACCCUGAUGCAGCGACGCCGCGUGGAGGAAGAAGGUCUUCGGAUUGUAAACUCCUGUUGUUGAGGAAGAUAAUGACGGUACUCAACAAGGAAGUGACGGCUAACUACGUGCCAG
rnacentral:rRNA from 1 species